CAGGACUUGAAAACACUGUGUUUCCUAGAGAAAUCUUCAACAAAGCAAAGAAAAUACAGCAAAAACAUUUUCUCUUCUAAGGAACCCAGCAAGUAAAGAUGCAGAAACCAUACCGAUGGAUUGAUCUUGAAUUUCAAAACAGACUGUUGCCAGUGGGUCUGUCAAAAACUGCAAGACCAGCAAGUACCAGCCUGCCUGCUGACUCCUCCAUUCCUACCACUGUUCCUAAUCCUGUUCAGCUCCUGAUCAUUCCCUGACUCUUAAAAGACAGCAUUUUAAUAGGUAUUAUCAAGUACGUUUGCUAUGUAACCUCUUUCUGCUUAGGAAGCACGUUUUUCUGUCAGAUUUUUUCCUUGACUUAAAGAGACUUCGAUGGCGGCAACAACGCAUUCCCACACAAAGAAAAAUUUGCCCUCACAGUUUUCACUGUUUGUAUUUUUUUGGAGAUGGCAUAGAUGCUGUUAAUGGAAAGGGGAAAGAAAGGGGAAUGAAAAGGGAAAAAAAAAAAUAAAAAAGGUAAAUGCAAGAAUAGUGCCAAGCUUUGCCAGGAUAUAUAUAUAUAUAUAUAUAUAUGUAUAAUAUAUAAUAUGUAAUAUGUAAUAUAAUUGAUAUGUAUCAAUAUAUGUAUACAUCAAUUACAGUAUUCAACAGCUUAGAUUUGUUACAUGUUAAAACUGCAAAUAGAAAUCACUGUAAAAGGAAAAACUGAAAGAGUUAAUUGGGGAAGUGUGGAAAGGUAGACUAACAGAUUUAAAAUAUUUUUAAAAUGUGUAUUGUUCUGAGU